AACCCAACCCUUCCCCAUCGCCAACAACCACCCCAAACCCAUGCUUACCAUUCCCCCCCAACUUGCCACCCUAAUUUCUCCUCCGCCAUGGUAAAAAAACAAAAAACAAAAUAAAGUUCUUCAAUAUGAGUUUAUUGUUUAUAAACUCCAAUCGCAUAAUCCUCAUGGCUGCACAGAGAUAUAUGUGAAAAUGACAGGCAUGAAAUCAAAUCAAACCCAGUUGGAGAAGAUAAGAGAAGUUCUUGCGCCUUGGGUGUGGAUUUGGGGUGUCAGCUCGGAGUGAGUAUGGCUGGGGGUUGAAAGUGGCUAUGUGGGUUGGGAUUGAUUGUUAUUAAUGGUUUGGGGUGGGGAUAUCAUAUUUGAACAAUGGUGGAGUGGUGGCCAUAGGUUUCGGGCGGUGGGUGGCAGUGGGGAAGGGUUGGGUUGUUGUGGUGGUGGUGGGGCUAUUCAGGUGUUAGGGGCUUUAUUUUUUUAUUUUUUAAAGAACUUUCUAAUUAUCAAAAUGUUUUAUAAACAGUUUUUUAAAAUUUGAAAAUUUUUAAUAGCUAAAAUAUCUAAAAUACUCAUGCCACAUAAACAAGUUAACAGUUUUAUUGACCAAUUGGCGGAAAGGGGUAAUAGAGGACACAAAAAUAAAGCACGGGAAGGCAUAUUGACUCAGUUUGAAGUGUAUGGGGCAAAGUGAGAUUUUCAAUGAAGUACAGGGGGCAUAUCAAUAAUUAAGCCUUUUAAAAAUACCUUUUUAAUCAUUCUUUUGUUUUGAGUAAGUUAACCAUCUUCUAAAGAUGUAACUAGAAUUAUGCAAAUCUAUAGAUGGCUUUAGUUAAAUCAUUUUUAACAUGUAUUGAUCCUUGGUUGCCAGAAUAUUACUUUAUUAUUUUUUCCAUGAUUUUAAUUCUAAUGACUCAGUAAUUGUAAAGUUGCCACUUGAUCCAAAAAAGAAAAUUUAUAAAUUUGCCAAGUCAAUGACCAUUCUGCACAGAAAUUUGUCCUGAAAAUGCGAACUACAGCUUAACUAGAU
rnacentral:lncRNA from 1 species